rnacentral:rRNA from 1 species
GGGGAAAAAUUAAUUAGUUAAUAAAAUAAAAAAAAGAUUUUUAAAUAGGAUAUUUUGGGGUUAAAGUAUUUUUAUAGAAAAAAUUUAAUAAAUUAUAAUAAAUUAGUAUUGUGAAAGAAAUUUGAAAUAAGUGAAAUAAAAAAUGAAUUAAAAGUAAUUUUAAUUUAGUGUAUCUUGGGUAUCAGAGUUUAUUAAUAAAAAUUUUUAGUAAAAAAAUUCUCGAAUUUAAAAGAGAUAAUUAAUUAAUAAAGUUAUUGUAGCAUAAAUAUUUAAAAUAAUUAAUUUGAAAUGAAAUGUUAAUCGUUUUUAAAUAUAUCUAGUUAUUUUAGAAAAAAAUUUAAUUUUAAAUUAUUUAUAAAAAAAAAUUAAUUAAUUAAUUUUUUUUUGAGAUAAUUUUAUAUUUUAAGGGAUAAGCUUUAAUUUAAAUUUAUAUAAAUAAUUAAUUAAAUUUAAAUUGAAUUUUGUAUAAUUUAUAUUGUUAAAAAAUUUUAAUUUAUUAUAAAUAAUUUCAUUUAAAAUAAAAUUUAAUAUAAUUUUAUAUAUUUAUAAAAUAAAAUUUUUUAAUAAAAUAAAAAUUGAUAUAAUGAUAAAAUUAGUAUAUAAAUUUAAUUAAAAUAUAUUUUUUAAUAAAAUUAAAUAAAAGGAAUUCGGCAAAAAUUUAUAUUCACUUGUUUAUCAAAAACAUGUCUUUUUGAAAAUAAUUUAAAGUCUAAUCUGCCCACUGAUUUUAAAAUUGAAGGCUGCAGUAUAUUGACUGUACAAAGGUAGCAUAAUCAUUAGUCAUUUAAUUGAUGACUUGUAUGAAGGAUUGGAUGAAAUAUAAACUGUUUUUUAAUUAAAUGUAGAAUUUAAUUUUUUAAUUAAAAAGUUAAAAUAAAUUAAAAAGACGAGAAGACCCUAUAGAGUUUUAUAAAUAAUUUAAUUAAGAUUAUUUUUAAAUAAAAAUUAAAAUUAAAUUAUUUAUUUUGUUGGGGUGAUAAAAAAAUAAAUAAAACUUUUUUUAAAUAAAAACAUGUAUAAGUGAAUAAAUGAUCCAAUAUUAUUGAUUAAAAGAAAAAAUUACCUUAGGGAUAACAGCGUAAUUUUUUUUUUUAGUUCAAAUAAGAAAAAGAGUUUGCGACCUCGAUGUUGGAUUAAGAUAAAAUUUAAAUGCAGAAGUUUAAAAUUUUUGAUCUGUUCGAUCAUUAAAAUCUUACAUGAUCUGAGUUCAAACCGGUGUAAGCCAGGUUGGUUUCUAUCUUUUAAAAUAUUAAAAUAUUUUAGUACGAAAGGAUUAAAUAUUAAAAUUAAAUUUAUUUUAAUGAAUUUUAUUAAAUUGUUUUAUAAAUAUAUUUUAUAAUGAUUUUUGAUAUAUAUAU